UGUAACACGUUUAGCCAAAACGUGAGUAUACAAUACUUAUUUGUAAAUUUACACCUAACUAAUUACUUACACUUGGUUUACAUCAAAUACUUAACUGGACGUUACUCACGUCCGUUAGGUAUACAAUAAAUCCGUAAAGAACACCAUACUUUUCUUAUUCUUCUGCAACAAAUGCCUACCAUACUUUUGUUCUCCGACAAAACCCGUGAGCUGAUUGAGAUCGAAAAAUAGGAAAUGGAUAGAGAAAUUCAGAGUUGGAGAUGGAAUUGAGUGUUACCACUGCUCAACAGACGGAGAUUGGAAUGGGAUCUGAGAUUGAUGUUGAGAGAUGAAAUAGAACGCAGAGAGAUGAUGAGAAAUAAGAGAAAACCAUGGGAAAUUGAGAUGAUAAUGGAGAUUGAAGAUGGGUAUUGUUUCUGCUACCGUGAUUUGGUGUUGUCACUGCAGGGAAAGAACAGUUAGGUUUAUGCAAUGAAGUUCGAUUAGGAAGAAUUGGUUGAUGUUUGAUUCAGGUUUAAAUCGAAUUUGGGUUCGAUCUGUACUGUAUUGAGCAGAGAAGAAAGGAUUUGAUGUUGCUGCUUCUGGUGCCGGUGAUCGAAUGGAGACAUGGAAUUGAUCAGAGAAGGAAGAGAUCGAUGGAGGCAGAGAUUUACUGCUGUAAAAUGUAUGGGUACGAGGUUGAAUCGAUGGGAUCUGUUGAAGAUAAUAAACCCGCUGCUGCUGAGAAGAAAUGGGUUGCGAGUGAAAUUGCUUGAUUAUGGUUUGGAUUAGAUGUAUGUUAGGAUUUUAAUCAGCAGAAACUGAUUCAUUAAAGGGAAGAUGAUAAUCACAAGGGAGAUGAAUUGAUGGACAGUCAGAUUGAAGAUGGGUUCUGUCAAUUGAAUGGACUCAACAAUGAAGCUGGUAUUUAGGAGGUGUUAGUUUCAAUGCUUUCGAAAUGCAGAACAAUUUCAUUAGUAAUCCACAAGUAAGCUACUAAGAUCUAUUAUCAGGUUUGUUAUAUCAAAGAUAGCUUGCUGUGCUCAAGAGCCGUCUAAUGGAAUAAGGCUUUGCACAGUUGCAACGAACCAUUGCAGAGAUUUGUUGUAGUGUGUACAUCACCCUGUGUGGGGAUAAAUCAAUCAAUGAUCUCAGUCGUCACAUACACCAUUCCAGAAUUGAGAAACCACCUGUCGUGGCCAUGGACUAUGUUAAAAAGGACCAAGUGAUGUUCCUGAGAUAGAGCAGGAAUUGAUGAUGCCGGAGAUGUGAAUUCGAUCUCAAGUGGGUUUUGAAUGAAGCAGCUUGAAGAAGAUGGUGAGUUUAUGGUUGUUUGUCAGCAAAAGAGAGCAAAGUACUGAAGCCCUGUUACAGAAUCGAAUUGAUUGAAUUAGGUGAAUGUUUAGGAAUUGCAGGCAAGUGAAGAAUACAAAGGCCGGAAGUGGCUGAAUAUUCAUCAGAUUACAGCCAAGGCAUUCUGGUCAGACGAGUCGAUUCAGCGACUCGGAUACCUUCAACUCAGACCAGUCACCCGUGUUAAACCUCUGACUCAAUAGCUGACUUGACCCCUUUGACCGUUCGUCUGCCGUUAUCUCGACUGCUGACUAUAACGGACAGUGACGGCAUAUUCUGUCAGAUGAGAAGAAUCUCAAGUGUCCGGCAGUGACUUUUUCGGCAAGUUUUCGGUGACCCUAUAGAUUUUUCCGGUGACCCGAAAGUAGAUAAUUCUGUGUAAGUUUUUCUCAUGGGUUUGAAUACAUAAUUUGAAAAUUGGAUGAAAA